UGCUACCCCUCAUUGAGCCACUUGAGCCUGGAGCAGAUGGAAAGAUUGUAGUGGGGGGAAAGUAAGCAAGCAGCGGAGAGAGAGAAAACUGGGAGAAGCCAUGCAGAGAAUGAGGCAGCCCAGCGACAAUGCUUGAUGAACUGAAACACUGACCACCAGAAAGGCUUUCUUCCACUUUUGACUGAGCCCUAGAGAACUCAAGGAAUAAGACAGGACAGUCCUCAGGGGAGACAUCAACUCAUUGUCCCAGCUGACGGGAAAAACCUGGAGAGCUCAAGAAAGAAAGAAAGAGUUUGAGAAGUGGAAAGAGGGGAGUUCUACAGAUGACAGUUAAAGCAGAGAGGCAGAAAGAGAUGCUCAGAGGGACCAGGUAGAGAAAAGUGAAACAAGUAACAGGAUUGCUUGUGGUGUGUCUACAAGGACUGCUCAAAGAAAGGACGACACACCAGAGUCCCAACAAAAGCUGUUGCAAGUAAAACAGGGAGUGAGAUCAGACAGAAGUAGAGUUGACAGAGCUAGAUAAGGAUGGCCAACUCAGGUCUUCAGUUGUUGGGUUAUUUCCUGGCGUUGGGUGGCUGGAUCGGCAUAAUUUCCACCACCGCCCUGCCCCAGUGGAAGCAGUCAUCGUAUGCUGGCGAUGCCAUCAUCACAGCUGUGGGGCUGUACGAGGGGCUGUGGAUGAGCUGCGCCUCGCAGAGUACGGGACAGGUGCAGUGCAAGAUCUUUGACUCCAUGCUCUCGCUGGACAUCCACAUCCAGACAUGUCGGGCCCUUAUGGUAGUGUCAGUACUGCUGGGUUUUAUCGCCAUCAUCGUCAGCGUGGUGGGCAUGAAGUGCACCAAGGUGGGCGAUAAUAACCCAGCUACCAAAACUCGCAUCGCCGUGACUGGAGGAGUUCUCUUCCUGCUUGCAGGUCUAUGUACGCUGGUGUCUGUGUCCUGGUAUGCCACUCAGGUGUCCUAUCAGUUCUUCAACCCAAAUACACCGCCCAAUGCCAGGUAUGAGUUCGGCUCAGCCCUGUUUGUGGGCUGGGCGGCAGCCAGUCUGACGGUCCUGGGGGGCUCCUUGCUGUGCUGCUCCUGCUCUAAAGAAGAUAUGCGAGGGCAGCAAUAUUAUCGCCAAUCACAGCCUUCCACAGCAAGGGAGUACGUGUAAACCCCACCCCCUUCCAGCAACCACUCAAACAGAGAGCAUCGGACACACUUGGCAAAACCCCCUUUUAUCCUCAAAUUAUAUCUGCUAAAACAAAACAAGACUAUCAUGUGUACAUACAUGCAAUUAUCACAGUGAUGUAGUAUUUAAACACUGGCAUACAAGUGCAGACACAGGUACUCACACGAUAUUUCACACAACACAUUACCCACCAGUUGCAUGUAUCUUGGUGGCUAAAAAGACUGCCAACUUUAAUAAAUUAAUUGUGAGCAGACAACUUACAUAUUUCAUGUCAAUCAUCCAGCUUACUUAUAUAAUGACAUAGUGCUUGUAAUUGUGAAUGGAAACCUCCCAUGUGCCGUAAGACCUUUACACACCAGGGCCAUGACAAAUAACAGGAAAAUGCAAAAUACUCGCGUGCAUAUAUUUUUCAACAAAACUAUUCAUAAGGGCAGCAAUGCCAAUUUGUGACAACUACUUGGAUUCUAUUGACCCAGAGCAGCAUCUGGCAGUCUGUCUAUGGUAGGUUGUUGUAAAGCCUAAGCUACUGUAAGUUAUUUUAUCUUGUUUCCUUUAUGCGAAAUACUGAAUGGAUUUGAGUUCCCUCUGGUUAACAGUUGCAUUGUACAUGUCAAGGGCUUUUACUGUGAAAGGUAAGACCAGAGGGAGUGGAUCUGGUAUUCGCUGGUAUGAGUUUGUCAUCUUGGUUCAGACUACAGAGCCUCCGUGUUGUUGUUAUAUAAUCCUGAAAGGUACAGGCGCAACAUGAUUGAUUGGUCGACCAACAAAAAAAACAAAAAACACCCUGAGUGUAUAAAGGCCAUUAGCGCCAUUAUUUUAUCUAUUUGAAAUGAGUGCAGCUGGUCAGUCUGACCCCAAAAAUCAUUACCACUCACUCUGAGUCAUCCACUUUAAAGUACAAUAGAAAAGGAAACAAAUCAAAACACUGAAGGGCAAAAUGUAAGGUGUAUCACAGCAGAUACCCAGAGAGAACGGACAUGGAGCUAAAAAUACUAGUACUGCAAAACUUGCUGAACUUUUAUCAGCAUGUCCUAUGCUUCCUGGUUGGUGCUGCAUCUGUGUUUUACCUUAAUAUUGCUUUGUGUCUUCAUACUCCACUGGUGCAGUUUUGUUGUGAAAGGGAAGUGUCCUAAAUCACUGUGCAAAAACUUGGAAGUUACAGAGCAGCUUCCUGUGCUCCUGCGGCAGAAACAGAGGAUUACUUGUACAAUGUCACCCAAGAGAAUGGGUCAGUUAGACUUUGAUCACAGAGGACACUGAUUUCUUCUGCUCAAACUUUAGGAACAGCUGCAGGUUACAGAGCGCAAGACAGGGACUAGGCAGAAGAGCUCUCAGAGUUAGUUCUAGCCUACUGUGGUGCAACUAUCCACUUAACAGUACCGUACCUUGCAUGAAGCAAAAAAAGAAGAAUGAUGUACAAGAAAGUGAGCAAGAUAAAAUGAACUGUCUAAAUGUGCUUGAUGAAAAGUUUGAGGAGCCCAUUCUAAAGCAAAAAAUGGAGACCAGGCCCAGCUAGAAGUUUAGACAUACAGAGGUCUAAGGCCCUGUCGACAUGUAUACAAAAACUGAUAUUUCCCCCCCCUUUGGUUAAAAAAGAAAGAAAUCUGUCUACAGGAAUUUCAUUUUACAUUACAUUAUUGUACACACUAGAAAGCAGCAACGACUCCAAAAACCUGCUGGCAUUAGCUGUCUUGCCGGGCCUCCCCUAAUUGCAAAGUAAUAAAGUGUACAACCUACCUUUUUCAAAACACCUACUAGAAAUCUCUUCACCAAUAAUUCACCUUUGAUAUAUGGAUGAAGGAGCUUGUUCAAAGAUACAAGUAAUGGUAAAUGGACCUGCAUUUUGUACUGUAUAACGCCUUUCUAUUCAUCCGACCACUCAAAGCGCUUUUUACACUAUGGCCUCUAGUUUCCCGGCGCGGCGCAGGGUGGCGAACCCUGCGCAGAACUAGUUUCGAGCAGUGCAACCCGAGGCACGCUCAGUUUGGUAGUUUGGCAGACUGAGGUGCGCUGAGAUGGGUGUGGCGGCGCAGCAUGGGGAGGUGUCGACAGAUCCAGCUUGGAACAGUGACAGUUUCGUGCCAAAAGGCUUUGCCGAAGGUGUGCUAAAAGCUCGCCAGCUGAAACCAGGUCUACCAUCAGCGCAGGCGGAGCGCAGCCGAUGUAAGUGGAAGUUUGGCUUUACUCCUGGGAGAAGUUUGGCCGUUUGACGCUGCUGCUCUCUUCUGCCAUGGCGAAUUGAGUAAACUGUCAUUAUGCCUUCGCACGGCGCAUUUAAGGGCAAGGAGAGGGGCUCAUUUGAUUGGUGUGAUGUGAAUUGGAUGUGUAAAACCCACUCCACGCAUUCUCUCCUCCCUCUUUCCGACUUGCGCAGGUAGGAGGGAUGGAGGUGGGACACAGGAGUAGCUGCACCAGGGCACACAGUGUGCCAAACUUGCAAAAUCUGCCUGGCCACACCCAGUUGGCCAGUUGGCCUUGUCCGGUCUGCGAAACUAGAGGCCUAUGAGUCACAUUCACCCAUUCAUACACACAUUCAUACACUAGUGACCAAGGUUACCAUAUGAGGUGCCACCUGGUACUCAGUUUUUAAAUACACACACACCGAUGCAAUUUGGGGUUCAGUAUCUUGCUCAAGGAUACUUCGACAUGCAGACUGGAGGAGCCGGGGAUCGAACCGCUGAUCUUCCGAUUGUUGGACCACCCCCUCUACCUUUGAGCCAAAGCCGCAGAGCAAUGCCCUAGACUCAUCGACACCAUCCACACUCUCAAAAUUGUCCCACCAUCUGCAGGUUUGAUCAGGCUUUAUGGCAAAAUUUAGACCACAGGUGGACCAAAUAACACUGAGUGCGUUUACAUGACAUUAGAGAAAAUUGAUUUAUCAUGUUAGUCUGACUAAAUCAAGUUUCUCAAAGACAGACUAACACACUCAGAUAAUGUGUUUGGGAGUCAAAUUACUCCUGCAUGUAUACAGUCAAUCGGACCCACACUGGCAUAGGCGCUCUGCAUGUGUAACAGAAGAAGAAGCCAGUAACAACAUGACGAAAUCUACAUCCAGAGCUAUGCAUUUUUGGACAGACAAAAUGUACAGAGCUGCAAAAUUGUCCACCGUGGUUUGCCGCUUGCUAACCAUAGGUAACUUGUUUGUCGAUUGUUUGGUCUGUGACGUAAUAUGUCAACUGAAAAGGGUCCAAUACUAACAAGCUGAAAGGAGCCACCUAUUGUAGCAGAGUCGGACAUACUUUGGUCAAUAAAUUGAUUACUUUCCUGUGCUUGUAUACUGGGACAAGGACAGUGUUCCAAUUAAAUGGCCUAGUCAAGCUUUAACCGUAGCUCCACUUUACUGUGCAUGUAAACAUAGUCUAAUAAUACUGCAGGGAGGAAGAGUAAAAGCAAAAACAGUCACAGCGAGAUGUUAGAAUCAGAACUGCAGACAAAAGGCUCUUACUGCACCUCUGCAAACAGCCCACCUCUAACAGGUAAACUUCUUUGUACCUGCCAUGCUGUGCGAUGAAAAAACACAUGCAGCAAAAAUAACGGGACUUCAGCUAUAGAUCAGCCUGCUGCUUUUAAACGUCACCACUCAAGACAAGCUGUCAUCAGUUUAAGACACACCUUCAAGUGGGUAGCCCUGUUGUUAUGGAAAUGCAAAACCCUGUCUCAUUGUGCUAAUGGCCCAAACUAAACCAAACCAAACCAAACCAAACCAAACCAAGCAACUAAGAAAAUACAUUGGACAUGAUCUCAGUAGCUACAGCCUGAUGAAGACAGCUGAUGUGUGAUUAAACUAACCCAAAUUACAAUAAAGAAGCAGGUGUGUUCACUGUCCUGUGUAAUCAAGGCCUCAGGCAGCCAUUUUGUAACAGCUGAGGAACUUCCUCACAUAAAAAGAUCUAAUUCUGUUUUUCACAACAAUCACUUGAUGAGGGCUGUGCAUGAAGACACAGUGUGAACUGCAGGAGUGGAGGUGAAUUGUUAGUAAAAGGUAUUUGCUGAGUUUGACUGAGUAUGAAUGCUGUUAAUGAUCAUUUCACUAUUCUGCACUAAGAAAAAGUGUAGGUUCUCAUCACACAUCACUAUACUCCAUUUACUAACACCACCAUUCCAGAUCAUACGCUCCUUCAUAUCAUAAUCUCUUGUAUAACUACACCAAUGUCUAAGAUCUAAGCUAAUUCAUGUACUUCUCACACAGGUGUAAUCUCACUAAGGAUUAUAAGAUAUAAAACACCAGCACAGUAUCAUUACUUGUCAAUAGACUAUAAGCUAACAUGAUGCUUUAAACAGAGCUGUAAAUAUAAACCAUGUCAUAUUUAACUUUACUGCAGUAGAACUAUCACUGACUUCCCCACGAGGAUGAAUUACAAUCCUGCAGCAUUUUAAAAAAUUGCGCACCACAUUAUAGGCUGUAAAACUCAACAGUGGGCCAUAAUUGGCUCUUGAACUCCCGCUUGAUGCUCUCACAUCACAUUGCCUUCAUUUGUGUUUCCAAAAGAGCUGUUCCAGAUAAUAAAGCCAUUCACUUUUCUUAGAAUCGCUCCCAGUCCCUCCAUUUCCCAGUCGUAUGGCCUCUCUUCUUGGUAGACACUUAUUUGUUGAGUGUUCUGUUAUUGUCAGACUGGGGGGUUGUAGGUCUAAAGAAAAUUCCUUGUGCCCUUUAAAUAAAGGGGGGCAUAAGGGUCACUACUCUGUCAUUAGCAGCUGUGCUUUGAAUAGGGAUUGCUCAACAAGAAGUCUGAUCAAAACUACAUGUAAAGCUGUCCAAAGAACAGAAAACAUACAUUUAAAGUAAUAAUUUGACAUAUUGGGAAGUAUAGUUAUUCCUUUUUUGCCGUAAGUUAGAUAAAAAGAUUAAUGCCACUCUUGUAUUAGUCCAGUAAACAUGAAUCUGGCAUCACCUCCCAUGCUCCUUCUCACUGACUUUCCAUCGUUUUACUAACAUCUUUAUAAUCAUCAAACAUCCUGCUUUCUUUCUAACACUUCAUAGCUUUUGUGAGAAUCUAAGAGCUCUUGAUGUGUCUCUUAUUUCCCCUCCUGUCUUCUAAUCCUGUUCUUCUCUGACUGUCUUCUUCUCUCCUCUAAUUCAGGGCAGAGUUGUUGAGUGAAACUAGUUUCCCUGACUGAUCAGCCCCCGCCUUUUUAUCGAGGACUGCCCGACUGUCCAACCACUGUCUUUCCCCUCUUUUUCCUGUUAUCUAUUAGACUCCAAAUUUGGACCUCAUGUAGUAAAAUAUUCCCCUGUCCUCAGCACUACAACUGCACAUUAUCAGUUCUAAUGGGGACCAAGAUGCGUUGUCUUCUCCCAUUUCCCUACCUUCUGAGCCUUCUCUGUAAAUAUGGACUCUUAAAGGAUAUGUGUUCAGAUCUUCUAUUUAAGAACUGAGGUGGCCUCCUCCAUUUCAGCCCCUCAUCCCUCUACUACACCUCCCACACCCUUCUCUGUCUCAUCAUUGGCUGAAAGUUAACAAUGAGUUGAAACCCUUUGUGGUUCUGUUGCGCUGAUUUAUGAUUUCACUUAUAUCCUAUGACCUCUGGGUGUUUUUGUAAAUGUGUCUUUUGGGUUUAUUUUGUGCACUGUGACUGUACUUUGACUGAAACAUGUCUUUCUUUCCCUUUUGAAUUGCAGACCAAAUGUUAAAAGUACCCCACCAGAGAAAAGGGAGCAGUACUUGUAGUUUGGGAGAGUCUUCUGGCCUUACCAUGGUUUAGAUUCUGUCAACAGACAAAACCCUCUCACUGAGGAAUUCAAAACAGACAAACAGACAGUUUUAAAGAAAGAAUUUAUGAACAGCAACAUUUCAAGCAUAUUGCAACAACAUAAGUCUAACAUGAGUCUUUGUUGGAGAAAUGUGUGGUAGAUUUUCUGAAAUAGGGUGAUUGAGAAAGAUGAUAUGCUUGUCUUGUCUGUUUUGUUGACUUUGGGAGAGACAGUGAUUCAGGGUAUGUUUUCUAUAACAUGUUAAAAUGCCCGGGUGUAUAUACCACCUACUCUAUUCUUUUUUCUUAUUUUUUUUACUACAUAUAUAAUGUUUAACUACAGUGCCUUGUAACACAUGUUUGUGCACAUGUAUGUUCUUGACUUCAUGGAUUCUUUAUAGUCUCCCAUCUCAUCUGAGGGAUGUGUGUCCAAAGUUCCUCUGCCAGCAGUUCUGUGUGCCUUUUUCUAUUGUUGGAUUUCUGAAAAUGAAUGUGAAGCUACUCUACAGUACCAGUUAUGAAACAACAAAGACAUACAGACGAUAAAUCUUCAGCAUAGUGCCUUAUGCCACUGUUUGGAAUAAGCUGUGUGCCUGCUUCCAAGUAGCCUGGAUUGAGGAUAUACCAAGCACAUUCAUUUCCUUUUGUUAAGUGCCAAUAUGAUUUGUGUGAAUGACAGAGUCACUGUAUUACUGACUCUGAAGGAUGCACUGUACUGUUUGUUGUCUCCUGUACUAAGGAAUGCCAGUUUGCUGAGUGUUCAAAUGCCCUUUUGAUGCCUGCAUUUAUUUACCAUGCCAUUCCUUUCUCUAAUAUUUACCUCCUCAGUGUUGUGUAUCAUCUCAUUUACAGUAUACCCCUGUCUGUUUCUUUUAGAAUAAAGUAAACAGAGACAUAA